rnacentral:lncRNA from 1 species
UGUAGACAGAGAAUGUAACUAACCUAAUUCACAAACCACUGCUGCAGCUUGUUGCUUCCAGCCUGCUGUAAGGUCUCAUUCAUUUCUUCCUUUGGCUGUCAAACUGUGUGGAUGUUGCAUUUGGCUUGUGGCAUUUCUGAGACACUCAUCUUCUGCUGCUGUGUCUGUACACAUCUAUGUGUGGCUUUUGCUGGUAGAAUGUGCUUUUAUAGGAGAACAAAAAUAUCUUUUGUUUUGCUCUCCUAUUUCCAGGGUGAAGGAGUGCUGCUGUCCUGCAAUACCUAGUCCUAACAAGAGCAAAGUGCUGUCAUUCAAAGAGUUUAAGAUUGGUUCUGAGAAAGUGCUAAAAAUAAAUGACUGCAUUCCUGACAUGCUGGCUAUGGACAAUAAGGCUGAAGCCCAGAAAUUACAUCCAUGGAGCAAGUUGUCUUCAAUACCAACAGAAGACGAGACUGAUGGUCACAAUUCGUCCUGGAUUUACCCUAAGGAAAAUGCAGAGAGAGACCUUCCACCCACACCUAUCUCUCAAACUCAUAAUUGGGAGAUCCUGCGCUGCUGA